AUCCUUGCAUUGCUCAUGAUCGUGAUGACUGGGUUUUCAGGCCAUUGUGUGGGAUCACCUCCCUCUGACACUGUUGUGACUGCUGCACUUUGCCUGCCUGACU
rfam:Fukomys damarensis contig78384, whole genome shotgun sequence.